AGCGAACGCUGGCGGCGUGCCUAACACAUGCAAGUCGAACGUGAACGGGGGCAACCCUUAGUAAAGUGGCGUACGGGUGAGUAACACGUAGGUAAUCUACCCUAGAGUCUGGAAUAACCGGCCGAAAGGCUGGCUAAUACUGGAUAGAGCGACGGAACUUGUAAAGAGUUUUUCGGGAAAGGGAGCUCGCAAGAGCCCUCGCUUUAGGAUGAGCCUGCGUCCCAUCAGGUAGUUGGUAGGGUAAUGGCCUACCAAGCCUUUGACGGGUAGCUGGUCUGAGAGGAUGGUCAGCCACACUGGAACUGAAACACGGUCCAGACUCCUACGGGAGGCAGCAGUGGGGAAUCUUGCGCAAUGGGCGAAAGCCUGACGCAGCCACGCCGCGUGAGUGAAGAAGGCCUUCGGGUUGUAAAGCUCUGUCGGGAGGGACGAACAUCAUUGGUGUUAACAGCGCCAGUGACUGACGGUACCUCCAAAGGAAGCACCGGCUAACUUCGUGCCAGCCGCCGCGGUAA
rnacentral:rRNA from 1 species